AUUCUCUCUCUAGACUUGUCCCUGUGGGAAGGGGACUACUACAUAAAGAUGGAACUUUUUCUCAUUAGGUGAACGCGGAGAGAGCCAGCAAGCUCCCAUUUUCUCUAUUAAUCGGAGAAGGUGGCGGAGGACAGUGGUGCACCGCCUCUCCGGUGACGCCGGAUUCAAGUGACGAAGCUAAGUGGGUGCCUGGUUUUAGGGAGAGUGAGAGUGGAGAAUGGGUCAGGGACUCAGUUGUGCAGCGACUCAAGAACAUGGGCUCUUCAGUGCCGUCCAGUCUGGUGACUUGGACACUGUAAAGGCUGUGCUUGAGAGAGACCCAUCUCUUAUGCACCAAACCACUGCUUAUGAUCGCCAAUCUGCACUUCAUAUUGCUGCUGCUAAUGGCCGGAUCGAGAUUUUAUCUAUGCUUUUGGAGCGAUCUAUGGAUCCAGAUGUUGUGAAUCGUCACAAACAGGUAGCUUUUUCUGAUUGUUUUUGAAUGUGAAUGUCUCAUUUUCUUUGAAUUGUUUGAUCUUGUGGUUUUCCUUUCCUUGCCUUUGGUCUAUACUUAACAGUAAUUGUGAUUUUUUGAUUGUGAAUGGUGAGUAGACUCCGCUUAUGCUGGCUGCGAUGCAUGGCAAAAUAGCUUGUUUGAAAAAGCUAAUCGAAGCUGGAGCAAAUGUAUGUCAAAAUUGGAAUGUUUUCUCUCUUCUGUAUAGAUGUUGUUAGCUUUGGAUAUUAUAUUGAUAAGGCUAAUCUUUGUGAUUUAAUCAGAUUUUAAAGUUUGAUUCACUUUAUGAAAGAACUUGCUUGCACUAUGCUGCUUACUACGGCCAUUCUGAUUGCCUUCAAGCUGUACUCUCUGCUGCUCAAUCUAGCCCUGUUGCUGUCUCUUGGGGAUAUGCACGGUUUGUCAAUAUUAGAGAUGGUAGGGGAGCUGCACCAUUGCAUUUAGCAGCCCGUCAAAGAAGACCCCAAUGUGUACGUAUCUUGUUAGACAAUGGAGCUCUUGUCUGUGCUUCAACAGGCGGAUAUGGCUGCCCAGGGAGUACUCCUCUUCAUUUGGCAGCCAGAGGAGGAUCUCUUGAUUGCAUCCGUGAAUUGCUGGCAUGGGGCGCAGAUCGUUUUCAAAGAGAUGCAUCUGGGAGAAUACCCUAUUUAGUUGCUUUGAAGCAUAAGCAUGGAGCUUGUGCAGCCCUACUAAAUCCUUCUUCAGCUGAGCCUCUUGUCUGGCCAUCACCUUUAAAGUUCAUCAGUGAGCUUAAUCAGGAAGCUAAAGCUUUGCUAGAACGUGCCUUAAUGGAGGCAAACAAGGAGAGGGAGAAGAAAAUCUUGAAGGGAACUGCUUAUUCACUUCCAUCUCCAUCACAUUCUGAUUCUGGCGCAGAUGACAAUAUAUCUGAGGUAAAAGCUUUUGAGAUAUUGUUUUGAAAUAAGCUUUUUAUUUUUUGGGGUUUAAAGCACAGUUGUUUUGGUCCUGACUGAAUUUAUGAGAGUUUCAAAUUGUUGGAUUACGAUUGGUCAACACAACUAGUUUUAGAACUUGUUCUUAAACUCAUUAUCAUCAUUCCAAGUUCUCAUGGUAGAUAAAUGGUGAGCCAGUGCAUGAAGCGUCCUAGUUCUCAUGAUAAAUAGUUAUCUUGUAUUUAGCAGCUAGGUUCUUUUUCUGCUACUUCUAUAAAUGAAAAGCAAUUGAGGCCAAGUUGAGCGUAUUUACAACAAUACUCAUUGUUAUCAUCUGAACUAUUUGAGAAAAGUUAGCAGGUGGCUGGAAAUUAUGGGACUAAUUGAGUCUGCAUUUGUUGGGUCACUAUAUAAUGCAGGCAAGCGAUACAGAGCUGUGCUGCAUAUGUUUUGAGCAGGUGUGCACAAUUGAAGUGCAAGACUGUGGUCACCAGAUGUGUGCGCAGUGCACACUAGCCCUAUGCUGCCACAACAAACCAAACCCAGCAACUGCAUGCAUAAACCCUCCAGUUUGCCCGUUCUGUCGAAGCUCCAUUGUCUGCCUAGUGGUUGCCAAAGUCAAAGAUUGUGAGGAUGCUGAUCAGGAAAUUGGAGACAUUGGUUCACCAAAGAUGAGGAAAGCAAGGAGGUCACGAAACUUCAGUAACGAGGGAAGCAGCAGCUUCAAGGGCUUAUCGGCGAUGAGUCCAUUUGGAAAAAUGGGCGGCCGUGGCUCAGGAAGACUUGCUACAGAAAAUGAAUGGGUCGAUAAGCCUUAAGAUACUUUGUAGCAUUUGGCAAUCAAAGAUUCCAAGUAGCAAUCAAGGAUUCCUUGUGCUCCAAAGAAGUGCAAAAAUAUCAAAGGAAUGGAUAUCAGUGGCAGAUCCAGUUGGUAUAUACAUAUAACUAUAUAUAGGGAGAGGUCCAUUUGCUUUGUAGAUCUGAGGAAUAAGCGAAAGAUGAUUGCAGGUUUGGGUUGGUAAGCUUUGGUAAUAUAGUUGCUGUGGGUCAUAUUGUUGUAAUCUUUUGUUUACUUGAGAUUGAAGAAGCAUUGGUUAUUAUUUUGACGGUCUUGUUAGAUACCUGAAUUGGUGAAACAAAGAAAAAUUCUUUUCUUCUUCACAUUAAAAAAAUCAACUUUCUUGAAUGUCUGCUUCUGCAAAAGGCACCUUAAGUCAAGCAAAACAAAGCAUUCCUAAUCCUACAUGGGUUUUGGACUUGAAUUUUCAAGUGUAAUAUGGUAGGCCUUCUAGAAAGGUGGUUGUCAUGUGAAUCUGCAAACUGCAAUCAUAUUUCAUUGGCUGGUAUGAAUAAUAAUAUUCUGAAAAAAUAGAAACAAGGCGUUAUGGAUGGGGUGGGACCCUAUGAACCUGAACGUACGACAUGUGGAAGAGAAGGUGGGCCUACAUAUAAGAGAAAAAAGCCUUAUGAGUAGCAGAGAUAGUCACCUAGCUUGGUGUGGAGGGUGCCAGUGAUGGGUGGUCUUUUUUUUUAUAUAUUUGGUAAUAAAUAGUAUUGGGAGUUUGUAUAAAGUAGCAAACAGGUGUUCUCGUGUGGAGGCAGUCCAAAGAGGCAUAUAUUGCUCUUCUUUCUUAUCUUUUACUAUUAUUUCCUGAUGCAGACACCUUCUUGACUUGUUU
rnacentral:misc_RNA from 1 species